rnacentral:misc_RNA from 1 species
UUUUAGGGAGACCUAACCCAUCACAAAACCGAAACACACUGGAAUAGGUUCAAGAUGAGGUCACCCAAGGUCGUUCGAGAUUGGUCAAUUGGCUUUCAAACUAUCUUCUGUUCGGAACCCUUCCCAAAAACAAUGGGCAUUGCCUUUAGGCAAAGGUAAUAAAUCCAAAAAUUUAAACCAAUCAGAUCAACUUAUUCAGCAAUCUUGUUGAACUCAGCAAGACUGCUGGAUGAAAGUCCAGACAGAACCUUGAAAAUUGCAUAGCAAGUUGUCAAAUGUAACGAGAUUGCAUUAGCCGUCAGUAAAAAAACUGGUGGUUAAAUGAGUCAAUUGCAGGUAGGCACCAAUGUUUUAAAGU